rnacentral:lncRNA from 1 species
UCAAUAAACGGUUUCCACUGAAGAGUCUCCUGGGCUGUCUGCUAGCCACACAAGAAAGAGAACAACAUGUGACUGAAGUGAUAUGGUUCUGGGGGCAGUUUAAGAACGGUCUAAUUUGUUCUUUUAAAAAAAGUUAUUUCUAAAGUUUUGUAUGUUAUUAUUGAUUAGCAGCCUUGUAACAUCAUAUUUACGACACACUAAAUAGGAGAUGUCCCCAAACCUGGGAAGGGUCCCAGAGCCCAGAGAAUGAGCCCUAUGCAUAACACUGUCUGACAGCCCCAGUUCACCCACAACCAUGAGGAAUUUGAGCUGUGGGGAGCAGGCUCUUCAGAAAAACAGCAUUCAAAACAGAGAUGUGAAGCAUUGCGAAGCUUGGACUCCAUCACCCUGGUCUCAGGAACCUUGCCCAGCAUGGACUUCGGUGGCAGACGAUGAUAAAGUUGUCCCAGGUGUGCCCUGCUCACCAGCUCCCUACUGUGUUGUUUUCUUCACUCAUGUAGCUGGGGGAAGUUUGACUGGAAGUCUCAGGAAUAAAUUUGGAUAUUUUUCCAUAUCGUAAGGGCAUGCGACAAUACAGCUUAUUAAUUUAGUGCAAAUGAGUAAUAUAGUCUAAUAUAAACCGUGUCAAAAUCAUGAAAACUUUUCUUUGUGUUCUAUCUAUCACUUAAAACAAAACACCUACUCCAUAAACAAAUGGGGGUAUUAUAGAUAUAAAGUAUUAUUCAGCAAGAUUUAUUCAAGGUCUUAAAUGAUUCAGGCAUUAAGAACAUAAAAGUACUCAAAAUCCUCUGUAAACCCCAUAUUCCCUAACCGCUGGUUUAUAAAAACAUUUGGGGUUAUAGAAUUAGUCUGGUUCUACUAGUUGAUCGUGUUACUAAAACUAAGUCAGAAAUUCCUUAUGUGUGUAUUUCCUGGCAAAUACGUGUCAUUUAUUUUAAAGAAUCUCCAAAUAAAAAGCCAAAUUGUUGGAAUGUACUUUGUCAUUAAAACAGAGUGAAAGCA